AUCCUGCUAAUAUGUUCCAAAUAGGACGAAACGCGCGUCAAACUGGAU
rnacentral:hammerhead_ribozyme from 1 species